UCAAAAUAUGGCUAUUGUGCAAAUAAGCCCUUUAUAAAAUGAAUAAAAUCUCAAGAAUAAUUAAGUGAGUAACAUUGAUUUUGACAUAAUUGAGUGAGUAACAAUUGACUCUCAAUUGAUCCGGUUAUACUCUUUAUUUCUACAAGUUACUGGUGACAAAUGAUAAAACGAUAACGUGGCCACUAACUUAUUUGGCCACGACACUUUUGUUUUUACAGCUUAAAAAGCUAAAAUAUUCUUAUUCCAUAUCACGAAAAUAGUAUAGAACACUAAUUCCAUCCCAAACCCUAAAAUCUAGAUACUAAACCUUAUCCCAGUCCCACCUCAACUCCUAAAUACUAAACUGUAAACUCUAAUCAGUAAACCCUAAACCCAAAAAAUAUAAAUCUUAAACUCAAAUAUAAUCCUAAACCCAAAUAUAAAGCCUAACCCAAAUAGAAUGGAACAAAAUACAUAGCAUAGUACAUAGGGGUGAAAUUAUGAAACAUCCAUGAUUAUAUGGAAUAAGUUAAUGUUGAUCCCAACCAUACCCCUCACCUACUAAAUACUUAAUCCAAAACUCUAAUCACUAAACCCUAAACCCAAAUAUAAACCGUAAACUCAAAUAGAAUGGAACAAAAUACAUAGCAUAGUACAUAUUGGCGAAAUUAUGAAAUAUCUAUGAUUGCAUGGAAUAAGUUAAUGUUGACCCCAACCAUACCCUCACCUACUAAAUACGAAGCCCUAAACCCUAAUCACUAAACCC
rnacentral:lncRNA from 1 species